AUUGAACGCUGGCGGCAGGCCUAACACAUGCAAGUCGAGCGGAUGAAGGGAGCUUGCUCCUGGAUUCAGCGGCGGACGGGUGAGUAAUGCCUAGGAAUCUGCCUGGUAGUGGGGGAUAACGUCCGGAAACGGGCGCUAAUACCGCAUACGUCCUGAGGGAGAAAGUGGGGGAUCUUCGGACCUCACGCUAUCAGAUGAGCCUAGGUCGGAUUAGCUAGUUGGUGGGGUAAAGGCCUACCAAGGCGACGAUCCGUAACUGGUCUGAGAGGAUGAUCAGUCACACUGGAACUGAGACACGGUCCAGACUCCGAAGGGAGGCAGCAGUGGGGAAUAUUGGACAAUGGGCGGAAGCCUGAUCCAGCCAUGCCGCGUGUGUGAAGAAGGUCUUCGGAUUGUAAAGCACGUUAAGUUGGGAGGAAGGGCAGUAAGUUAAUACCUUGCUGUUUUGACGUUACCAACAGAAUAAGCACCGGCUAACUUCGUG
rnacentral:rRNA from 1 species